AUUUUUUUAAUUCAUUGGAAUUUUUUUUUAAGAAUUUCAAGCAGGAAAAAAAAAAAAAAAAGAAUUUCAAGCAGGGAAAACAGCAUUAAAGCAAGUACAAAGCACAAGUCAAUGACAUCAGUCCUGCCCAUGGUGUUUCUCCCAUGCUCCCAUCACCAAAGCACAAGCGGUCUGCUCAGUAGUGACUUCUGUAUGUCUUGGCCUAACUUUUCCAGGGUCCACCCCACAGCAUACAAUAGGGACACUGUAUACCUAGGGGCUGGGUGUCUGCCACACAAAAAAUUCAUAUCUUUUGCUUCCUAAAAUGAACUCUUCCCCUCCCUGGCUUACAGGAGUCUUUCACCCCCAAAGAUUCAGCCAGCCCUUCUCCUAGCUCAAAGCUGAUUUUCCCUUUCUCCCUUAUCAGUGACAAUUUUGAUAAGCCUAUCCUUCCAAAUGCAGGUCUAGAGUAGGGGAUUUCUUUUCCGUGGAGGCCCCUGGAACACAAAAGAGUAAUCUAAGAAUAUCCUAAACCCAGGAUCUAAACCCCAGGGGCAAGGUGGACAACCCAAUCUCAUUGUAGAGAG
rnacentral:lncRNA from 1 species